UACAGAGGUCUCGAGCGUUAGGCGGAAUCACUGGGCUUAAAGCGUGUGUAGGUGGAUGCCUAAGUACCUUGUGAAAUCCCACGGCUUAACCGUGGAACUGCUUGGUAUACUGGGUGUCUUGAGUCACUCAGGGGCGAGCGGAACAAAUGUGGAGCGGUGAAAUGCGUAGAUAUCAUUUGGAACGCCAAUGGUGAAAACAGCUCGCUGGGGGUGCACUGACACUGAGACACGAAAGCCAGGGGAGCGAACGGG
rnacentral:rRNA from 1 species